UCUAUCAAAUAUCCUUGCUUAUCUUCAUACCAGUUGUUUUUAGAAUAAUCCAUGCAGUGAUUCAGAAUUAAGAAAAAUAAUGAAGGCUAAAUAGUUUUUUUAUCUGUGUAUGGUAUAUCUGGUACAUUUCCUUGGUAUUGUUUAAGUAGUGCUACUCUGAAGAUUCUAGUCUUGCACUCAGAGGGUGGAACACAUCUAAAGUGAAGCCUGUCCUUCAUGGUUAUAUACAUAUAGAGCGAUAAAACUACAAUGCAAAAACAUAAACAUCUUAGUUGGAGAGGAAACUUCAGUUUACAGAUGGGGAAAAAAAGGUUUUGAAAAUACAUCAGAAUGUAUGAGAAUGUCUGUGGAAAAAGAUUUUGAAAAAUCUUUGAAAAGGGGAAAAAAACAAAACAAAACAAAACAAAAACUCACAAUAACGUGUCCUUGCAUUAACAUUGCUUAUAACGAGAAGAAAGUGUAUAUGUUUUCCCUCAGUGGAUCAAUAACCAUUCUUCCAUUCCAGCCAAGAGUAUGACUAGUUUCACAUCCCAGCACUGGGAUGAAAAUAAACAGACCUUGCUGUCUCCUCUGAUUGUGGCUACUCAGUGUUACCAAAAACAUGGUCAUAAAGGAACUUGAAUUUAUACAAUUUAAGUCACAGUGCUGCUUACUUGGUCUCUCUAGAAUACUCUAAAACUCUUUUUAUGAUCAGAUUCACAGAGAACCAUGUGGCUGAGUCUACUUCCCUACGAGGACCCACCAAACCACAGAGUGGCACAUCUUAAAAUGUUUCGUAAUGCCAUGCAGUUGCUUGGCAACCAGGUCAUGGAUCAUAUCUUUCUUUUUGCAAAUAAGGAUUACAUAUAAGACUUUUCUAUUAGAUAUUCCCGAGUCUAACAGUUAAAAGCAAUUUCCAGUAUCAGAGCAGGCCAUUUUAAACUUCUAUUUCAAUUUUGCUUUUGCAUAAUAGACUUCACCUUUGAAUUAAUUUCUCUAUCAGUCUGUAUGUAUUUGUAAAUAUACGUGCAUAUACUUAUUUACAUAAAAUUAGGUAUAAAUAUGCAUAUACAUACACAACUAUGGGUGAGCAUGUAUGUAAACUUAAAAAUCUAGGGUGAACUUUCAUUCCUGACAAGGUAUUACUUAGCAUGAUAAAAUUGAUAACUAAGAGGUGCUCAAUUUACCAAAAAGACAAAGAUCACAAUAAGGCCUGUAUAAAAGAAUAGAGCACUAAACACGUUCUGCUAAUUUUCUUGUUAAAAAAAUAAAUAUAAAAAUAAAUCUUAGUGCUUCUCUGCUUAAGGAACAAGGAAUUUCCAGUUCAUUGUUGACUUUGAUAGUGAAUGUUAUAUAGAGAGGGCAUUUUUAUUCAUUUAUCCAAUAACCUAUGAAGUCUGUAUUUUUUUUUUUCAGUAAUAAUGGGCUAUGGAAAGCCAGAAAUUACAAUGGCAGUCCACUUCAGAUGCAUGUGUUACAAUGUGGUCAGAAAGAUCGACUGUUCUAUUUAAACAAGAAUUUCUUUGAAUAUGAACAGGAAGAGGCUCUCAGUGAGUCUUAGAAAAUUAAACUUAAAAUACAUCAAGUUUUGUGAUUCUGCCUGAUCUUGUGACCUGGGGGAAAGCUGCCUCACUUCUGUUAUUUUCAAAUGCAAUAAUGUCCUGGAGAUUUACUUCAAUGCUUUCAACCUUGUUUCCACAGUAGGGUCUCACAACAGGGUCUCACAAUUCUUUAUACACUGCUUCAGGAAGACUUCUCAUCUCCUGAUAAACCUGAACUAUCACAAAGGAAGAUGAUGCUGGAUUUAUUUCAUGCACAGGAAUUUCACUGCCUUCAGCUGGGACUGUUGGAAGUAUUACAAAAUGUCUUCACCAGGUUAAAUCAGGGAUGCCUUAGUCAGGAAGCAAUUGAUUUGACCUGUCAUCGUAGUAGGCCUCUUGGCAGUUACCCAGUAAAAAGGCAAGUCUUGGGGAGCACAAGGUAGAAGGGAGGAACAUAGAUAAGGUAAGAAAAAUGCCAAAACAAAAAAUCCAUCUCUGCCCUGUUUUCCUAAUCUGUUAUUCACUAUUAUUGUUCAAUAAGACAUUAAAACCAGUUGUCAGAGUAUGGGCAAUGUCUCUCUUCAUAUUCAUUCUGCAUAUCUGAAGAACCCAUUUUGCUCUUCCCUCCCUCCCCCCCACCCCAUUUCUUAAUCCCCAGCUCUUCAAGGUGGGUGAUGCACACUGUCCUUCCACAGUAUGUAUGUGCAUCAGUUGCAGCUCUGGUGUCAUUUUUUAAGGUGGGUAUAGGCACACCCUGCCUCUCUCUUCAUCAUCAAUUGUAGUCAGGAAGAGCCAUUUCAAGUUGCUUUCUGUCCUAGCAAUUCUGUCUCCAAAUCAGAGGAUGGCUCAGCUGGCAGCAUGUUCGCGGGGCGCAGCCUUUGUUCUGCUGCUACGCAGCCACCCGGCACUGGGGACGAGAGGAGAGCACAGGUGAGAUCAGCCCCGCGUCAGGGGUUGAGACAGCAGUGUGGGAGGCUGCUCAGCACUGAUGUUACAGUGAAGCGUAAUGAAAUGUCAAACACAGUAAUUUUGCAUGCUUUCUCCCAUCACCUCCCAUUGCACUGCUAGGCAGACAUUCGUAGUGUCGUCUUGAGCAGGGAAAGUUAAAAACAGAAAUCACAGGUUACUGGUGAAUAAAACAGAACCCUUUCUCUCCACUCAGUCAGUGUCUUCUAAUUAAAAAUGUUUUUAAUGAAAGCAGAAGAAAGCAGACAUUGUCUGACUGCCAUUGUUCUGGUUGGCAAGGUUGAACAGCUCUAAUCCAUAAUAUCUGUAAUAUCUCAUUAAUUUAGGAUUCAUAUUUCUUGUUUUUCUCCUUUCUUUCAGUCUCGUUAAUUACAGCCUCAUCUAUAGAAGCAAGGAGUAUUCUCAAAUAAUGGAAAGGAACAUCUUUUUCAUGAUAAUUAAGCAGAGGAAUGGGGACAGAAAGCAAAUUGCCAUGCAUCACGCAUACCAGUAAAGAGGAAAUGGUGCUGUUAAGGAGUGUACGGGCUGAGCGGGUAUGGCAGCCUGAUGUCCUGGAGGAGUAAAAAUCCCAGUUACUCACUGGUCUUCACCCAGUAACAGGCUUUCUGCUGUCCCCACUGGAUAGCUUGUGGUACCUUUGUUGCUUAACCCCAUAGGAGGAGCCUCUGCUAGGUAACACAGACAGAUCUGAAUUGAAAAACACACAGUGCUGGCAGUAAGGGUGGGUGAAAUGCAUUUUUUUUUCUUAUGCUUCAUGUUUCUGAAAAUGUCAGUGUAUUAUGUAUAUUUAAUUUUCCAAAACUGAACAGAAAGGCUUGGGCUUUUUUGUUUGGUUGGGUUUUUUUUUGUUUGUUUUUGUUUUCCUAGUGGAAAAUCAUAAGUAAUGAAUGUGACAGAAUUAUUCUGGUCCUGUGGACCCGAGAAGAGUGUGGGUUCCCUGUGGCUAAGUAAAGUUCCUCGUCAGGGACACAUGGGCACUGCUGAUGGUGCUCUGAGAUCUUGACUCUUGUUUCUAAGUUUUGUGUGGGAAGUUGUUCCUUCACUGACAAAAGGGAAGGAAGAAGAUUUCUACAGAAACUUCUAAAGACCUAGAAGUAACCUGACAUUUGCCUUGUAUGUUCAUAUCUGCAAGACUUCAAAGAUGCUUUACGUUACUAGGAUCAGAUAAAGGUUUGAAACAGUCUUUUAUUGACCUUUUACAAUUCAUAGACUGUUUUAUUUCUGAGCCCUUUUUCGAAGUAUGUUAGGCUGAGCUAGUAUAAAGAGGUGAGAGCUGUGAGUUGCUGACUUCAAAGGCAGAGCAAUAGGGUGAGACAAAAUUUUGGGCCAGGGAAGAGAUGGAAAAGAAAGAGAAAGGUGUAGAAAGAAGCUUGAGAAGAGGUGGGAAAAAAAUGGACGUAAGAGGACAUUGGGGAAAAAAAACAAUCUAUUUAGAAGAGGCAUAAAAGAACUGAGGCAUACUCAGUACGUUUAUGAAGGUAGCGAGGAGACUUCUUAUUCCCUAGUAAGUGUCUAAUGAUUUCCACUGGCUGUGGUGUGCUCUUCCCUCAGUACCUAACAGGCUGACAGGAUAAAAACCUCCACACUAAUUCAGAGAUAAGAGUGUACAUCUAAACUCUUUAUUUAAUGGGCACCCCCUGUCUUUUCUCAUGAAUGUUCAAGAAAACAAAAUAGUUUCAUCUGUAGGGCCUCAAGCACUGCCCAGAGAUGCAUGGAAUAGCAAGGUAGCACCUCAAAGGGCACUUCUGUCUCCUCGCUCUGCCUCGUAAAAUGUGAACCAGCAGAAAAUAGGGAAAAAGUGAGAGGAGGAGAAAAGCGUCUCUGUGAAAGAAUAUACCAUGAACAAAAUACUCAGAUGUGACAAGAACCAAGUAGUAGAGGUAUGCCUUGAAAGCAGAUUUUUGCAGAUCCAGGUAGGCCCUGUCCUUGAAACACAAAGAAAGAGAAGAAAAGGGCUCUCCCACUGCUAUUUAUUUCAGUGCCUAAACCAGAGCACAUAGGCUUUUAUAAGGUCUUGUUAGAGCAGAGAAUACUUUAAAACAGGGAAUAUGUGGAGCUGUCCUUUGCAGCGGAUGGUUGGUGGUAAAUCGUCCUGUCAGCGGCUGGAGGCUCUCCAGGCCGAGUCCCGCAGGAGGACACUAACUGCAGCAGAGGGCUGCUGCACUUUGCUUGGCAGCACUGUCCAGUAGUACCCAUCGUGCUCAGGUAUCCUUCUUCUUGAAGCUCAUGGAAUUAUUCAUGAGUUUAUUCGGUCGAAUAGUCAGGCUUCCUGUAUUAGAGUCUGGCCUACAAUUUAUACAUAGCAUUGACAGAGAGCUGAAGGACGUUUUAACUCAAAUGUUUAAGCAAAUUCAAAAACUAGGCUAAAAAUAAACAAGAUUAUAAAAAAUAAAGAAACAAAGAUAUUAUAAAACCAGCCUGGUAAACCUGCAGGGGUGCUUGGCCAAAUCUCCUGGGUCACAGCUGCUGCUAAGAGGGGACUGUGAGCUGGGACAGCCCAAACUGUCUGGGAAAGCACUUGCCUAGAAGUCACCCUUUAACAAGAGGAAGGCAAAUGUCGAGCAGAUUAAACAGUCACAAGAAAACUGGUGUGGUGGGUUUGAAACAAAGCAGAGGUGUGGGUGUGAGCUGGGGCAGUGGGCAGCAGGACGGGUCCCCUAUCUGCAGUUGGAGGGAGCUGGUGCCAGGGGAGAGCUGGGGCAUGUGGGCCGCACGGCUCCUCCAGUGAGGUGCUGAGGGGCACUGAGAAACUGCAAGGGGCACGUUAACAUUUUAUAAAAGCCCAGCAGUACGGCUUUGCUGAUACGGAUUAAGAAUAUUUAGUUCCCUGAUUGCUGGCUAAUUAUGUCAUUAAUCAAUAAAUCGCUUCAGUAUUGACCUGGUUUAAGCUACAUGAACAGGGCAUUUUUCUUCCUGUAAUGUAAGUCCCCAUGUAAGUGUUUCACUUAGACCCCAUUUCCUAAAUCCAGAUUUGCACACCUGUUUAACGCAAAUUGUAUGACCAAAAGUACGGAGGUGGACAACAAGAAUGUUUACGAAUUCCUGUUCCUUUUUGAAGCUGGUAUGAAAGUAAUUCAGAAAUGAAGAAAGAAAAAAUAAAUAAAAAGGAACAAGGUGUUCAACAGGGAAAAAAAAGUAUCUCUUCCCUGUUGUGAUUCUGAACAUCAGCCUGCCUUUCUUGGGGAUCAGAGAAAGACCACAAUACCCAAAUUCAGCAGAAUGCUGUCCAAACUUCUUAAGUAGAAUAAUUGUCCAUCAGAAAUUUGUUUCUAGAUAUAUAAGACACAAUUCCCUGGUGAAUUUUUCUUGGAGUAUUGGAAGCAGCGUACAUUGCUGAUGAAUGUGUGCUAAACAGGAAAAUGAAAUUAUCCCUUCUCCUAAGCUGCUGAACUCUAACUUCUCUGAAAUCAAACAACUCAAUUUCUGAAUGAAGAAAACUUCUUUUUAACACUUGCACACACUGCAGGUCUGGGGAGGUAAAAUCUGCACCACACUGAGCAUCUGAUGCUGUCCUGAAGAAAAUUUCAUGUGUUUCAGGUAUUUGUUCUGCCUUUGUCAAGAACUCUAUUGUUUUUGUAUUUUAAGUUGGUAGCAUACAAGAAAAGGGACAUGAGGAUGAUCAUACAUCACUUGAACAAGACCUUGCCAUCCUUCUUCAUGUUGAAUCUGCCUGUUCUAGGAGAGGGAAGUCAGCUUCAGGUUCUGGCCUUCAUCUCCCAGGUAAUGUACAGAUAGCAAAUUACUUAAACCACAUUGGGGAACACACUGUAACGCUAGAUUAGAAUCAGAGGGAAAAAAGGGAAGGUCAUUAGAUUAGAAAGAGUAAGUAUGGAAAUUAUAUUUAUAUAAAAUCUGUUAUAGAAUCAAUUGCAAACUGCUUCACACAAGGAACAAAAUUAUGCUCCUGUUGUUUUUGUGAAUUCCCCCAUUUCAAAAUACAAUGUCUGUGCACUGCUGUGGAGCUGGGGGACUCCCCGGGGUAGUUUGCUGCCUUCUUCUUGACCACCUAACACUUGCCCACUGAAGGGCAGCUCCUCAUAUGCCACUGGGGAGAGUCCUGACACCUGAGUAAUAACACAGUUGAUGAGAAAAAGAUACCUCUGUACCUUAUCUUUGUUAUUUUUGACCAUUUCCCCAGCAGGAAAAAUGUUUAUUCAUUUUAGUAUGUCUCCCUCUGAAUAACCACAGAAAAGCACUUUCAUUACUGCUAAUGGCUAUUGUACAUUUUUUCCGCUGUGAUGUGUCCUGACUUGAACAUCAGUUAUCUUGAAUAUGAAAUUAUGGAAAAAUGAGUCUGCAGAAAUGCAGUUUGCAGCGUGUGUUGUCACUGCUUUCAAGUAGAAAAGUAAAAGCCACAGUGUUUGCUCACCCCAGAAAACUGGAGCAACUGCCUAUUUUUAUACUCUAAUCUCAGCAUGUAGAGAUCCAGCCAUUAAGCUCCUAUCAAGGUUAAUUAAAGUUUUGAAGGCAAAGGUUUGAAAUGCAGACUUGCUAGAGAGAACCACAUUUCCUCUAAGGAUUAAAUUCAAGUCAGUCACUGCAGCUCUUUUUGGUUUCCUGUUAAUUCACCUCUUUGUCCAGGUGGUUUUUACCCAUCAGAAUAAGACCUGAAGGGCUCAGGAAGCGCAGUUUGUGAGCUGGGGCCCUAACUCUUAAGCUGAAGACCUAUAAAUUAACCAGGAGCUGUCAGACAGCUCUACAUGAUCAAACAAAAGCCUAACGCUAAGCUGUUUAACAAUUCUAAGAUAUACAGCAAUGAAAAGGGAACGGAAACUAGGACAAAAAUAUGCACUAUGAUCUGAGAACAUUUGCAUAAUCUUUUGAAAACAAAGUGCUUUCUUUUAUUUUUUUCCCCUUUAUUUGUCCAAAUACGGUGAAUAGUCUUAAAAAUGCAGUUUUAAUAGAUAUAUUGCACCAGUUUGGUCUUUCUAAAAAUGAAAUAGAAGAUUCAGCAUUUGAAAUAUCACAGAAAGAUAUUAGCUAACUGAAUGCUAACAAUUUCAUACAGAUGUCUACUUAUCAUGCAAAUAGUUUAUUUAGAUGCAGAGACACAUUAGACUCCAGUGAUCGGGAAGUGAAAAACGGUAGUUGCUUCAUGUUGUUUCAGCAGACGUGACUAGAAUUUCAGCGUGUUUCCCCUCAUAGUUCAGACAGCAACACUGAAAUAAGCAACAAAAAUGAGGGACACAAACUGUGUAUACAAAGGAGGCUUGAUUUCUAAUACACUGGAUAUUAGCAGUAGAUGAUGGGCUGCAGAAGAACAGAUGCCUUUAAAUCAGCAGAGCAUUAUGCAAACAGCUGUUAACAAGACAAAGCAUGUAAUUUCACCUACUGUACUCUUAAUUUUUCUCCUACCAUGCUAUCACAUCCUGAUAUCGGUAUGACAUUUAAAAGGAGGUCUCAGCUGGUUUAUAUAGCACUUCAUAACCCCUGAUUUGCAAAAGGGUAACUGACUGAUACUACUUUUGAGCUCCAGAAAAUAAUACAGUUUAUAGCCUUUUGUGGAACACGAAUGGGUUUUCAUUAGAUUUUAAACCUAAACUGCUUCCUGACCUUUUCCCAAUACCAUACUUAAUAUUUUUCUCUUUAAAUGAAAUGAUACUCAAACCCUAAACAUUUGUACAUCACUUUUACCUAUUACUGCUCCUGAAGAUGACUUAAUCAUCCUAAUAUCUAGCGUAAAGGUCUUGCUGUUGCACCUAAUCGCUGAUAGCAUGCAGAAUGAAGGGCCUCCAUUUACGGAUGGGUCAGACAGCCAAGUGUCCUAGCAGCACGUAGUCCACAGCAGAGCACUCUUCUCUGCGUGCUAAACAGACCACAGAAUGUUUCAUCUCCUGGAAAACACAUCAUUUAUUCAUACUAGAGCAAUAUCUCUGAAAGCAGUGGAUGAAAGCAGAAGUCUUUUCCUUGACAAAGAUUCUCUUUUGACUGGUGCAAGUACCUGCAAAUUCAGGGGAAAAAAAAAAAAAAAAAAAAAAAAAAAAAAAAAAAAAAAACUAUUUAGAAAGGGCUUUCUGAUACUUCUCAGUGAUUUUGUGUUGAAGGGAACCAUUCUAGAUAGCAGACUAAAUUUGGUUGUUGACCGUGUUCAAUAUAAGUAUCCAAUUUUGUUUUCUUUUCAUCCUCCAUCGUCACUUAGCAAAGUUUGACCGAUGAUGCUGCCGUUGAGGGGGUGGAUGGGUGCCCUCCUCCUCCUCUGCAGCAGCCUGGGACAGGAAGUGACACCUUUUGGCUGCCAUCACCACCAAUUGCUCGACUGGCCAAGAAAGAGCAAGACGUUGGCAGCAACCCCCGACGGAUCAGGAUGAGGUGAUGCCCCCUCGCUGUGGGGGCGGCUGGGCCGCAAGGUAGCGGAUCCGCAGGACAGCAGUACCACAGGGCGCUCAUCCCUGGGCCUUGUUAUGAAAGAUUUUGUGAUCAGUGCUGGUUUUUCUGCUUUUCUGAAUUGUUUUGCAAUGUGUUGCGGAGUUGCUUAGGCCUUAGGGUAAUAAGGCUUAUAUAUCACUACUGUGAGGUUUUUUCCUGGAGAGUGGAAACUGCCAAGCAUGAAAAAGGGAAAAAAAAUAACAGUUGCUUUUUUUUUUUUUUAUGAAUCCCUGAUGUUUAUUCUGCAGUGUACACCCAAUAUCAAUUACUUUAAUCACAGUGGAGACUGUGUGAAUGCAUCAGAGAGAAAGUCUAUAAACAUGAUAAAAAAACAUCAUAUUGUACUCACUAUCAGUUUAUCUUCUUUUUUUUUAACUCUCUUGUAGGUGACAGUAGUGAUAAAAAAUAAAAUUACAAAAACCUGAGGCAUCGUGUUGUCCCAAUCCCAGUUGUUUUUAUGGCGUAUUUAUGCAUUUAAGAAGUCGAUGUUUUCGUCGAAGGAAUGUUUGAUUCAAAAACAAGGCAAUUUAUUAAGGUAGGAUAAAAUAAUGUAAAUUAUUUUAUCUAAAUUCUGUGUUCUUACGUUUUACUAACAAAUGAAAAGAUGUUCAAAGUGCUUA